rnacentral:rRNA from 1 species
UGGGGAAUAUUGGACAAUGGGCGCAAGCCUGAUCCAGCCAUGCCGCGUGAGUGAUGAAGGCCUUAGGGUUGUAAAGCUCUUUCGGCGGGGAAGCAGUACCCGCAGAAGAAGCCCCGGCUAACUUCGUGCCAGCAGCCGCGGUAAUACGAAGGGGGCUAGCGUUGUUCGGAAUCACUGGGCGUAAAGCGCACGUAGGCGGACUUUUAAGUCAGGGGUGAAAUCCCAGGGCUCAACCCUGGAACUGCCCUUGAUACUGAAAGUCUCGAGUCCGGGAGAGGUGAGUGGAACUCCGAGUGUAGAGGUGAAAUUCGUAGAUAUUCGGAAGAACACCAGUGGCGAAGGCGGCUCACUGGCCCGGUACUGACGCUGAGGUGCGAAAGCGUGGGGAGCAAACAGGAUUAGAUACCCGGGUAGU